GUCAGAAUGGCCGAGCGGUUUAAGGCGCCAGAUUAGGAUUCUGGUCCUCUCUGAGGGCGUGGGUUCGAAUCCCACUUCUGACA
rnacentral:tRNA from 1 species